UACGUAGGGUGCGAGCGUUAAUCGGAAUUACUGGGCGUAAAGCGUGCGCAGGCGGUUUGACAAGUCUGAUGUGAAAUCCCCGGGCUCAACCUGGGAACUGCGUUGGAAACUGUCAGGCUAGAGUGUAGCAGAGGGGGGUAGAAUUCCACGUGUAGCAGUGAAAUGCGUAGAGAUGUGGAGGAAUACCGAUGGCGAAGGCAGCCCCCUGGGUUAACACUGACGCUCAUGCACGAAAGCGUGGGGAGCAAACAGG
rnacentral:rRNA from 1 species